GGAGGGUGCAAGCGUUGUUCGGAAUUAUUGGGCGUAAAGCGCGUGCAGGCGGUUGCUUAAGUCUGAUGUGAAAGCCCUGGGCUCAACCCGGGAAGUGCAUUGGAAACUGGGCAACUUGAGUACGGGAGAGGAUAGUGGAAUUCCGAGUGUAGGGGUGAAAUCCGUAGAUAUUCGGAGGAACACCGGUGGCGAAGGCGGCUAUCUGGACCGAUACUGACGCUGAGACGCGAAAGCGUGGGGAGCAAACAGGAUUAGAUACCCUGGUAGUCCACGCCGUAAACGAUGGGUACUAGGUGUUGCGGGUAUUAACCCCUGCAGUGCCGAAGCUAACGCAUUAAGUACCCCGCCUGGGGAGUACGGUCGCAAGACUA
rnacentral:rRNA from 1 species